CGGCGGGCGAGAGGCGGCAGUCAACGCGCUUCAUUUCCCAACGCCCAGCUCCACAGCGCCCGGGAAGGCGCGCCCCCCCCCUCCCCCCGGCCGGCUGCAUAACGACCGCCCGGCCCUGCCUCACCUCCCCGCACCCACCUUACCGCCGGGGGCCCUGGAGUCCCGCCGCUCCUGCUCUUACCCGCGGGGAGACCUUGGGCGAGUCCCUUACCAAUGCAGCCCAAUCCCGCCUCUGCAAAUGGGGGUCACUUAACUACCUGGCUACGUGGUUGCAACGGGCCCAAGUUCAGUAAAUCUCCGUGUUGGCAGUGCAUCAAAUCACAACCCCCCACGUCCUCAUCCAGAGCCGAUCAGCAUCAUCCAGAGUGGUGACCAGAAACAGGGAAUUCAAAUUCUUGAGAAGCAAUGUCUGGCACAUUAACCACGCCCCCACCCUCACCUCUCAAUCUGCGAUUAUUGUUGUUCUCAGGAAGAAAUCAUCGCCCAUGAUUUCCUUCCACCAGGAAAAGAGCCGCUCAGAAGAACACAACUUGAAGCUCCAGAAAGGAACCAUGGGGGUAGAACCUGCAAACCCCUCAGUGCCCAAGGCGUGGCCUGGCAUGCAGUUCAGCUUUUCAAGGGUCACCAAGUGCCAUGGAAAGCACCCCAGCCUGGGGAUUAGGAGAUUUAGGGCUCAGGUUCAGUUUUAACCUGAAUUCGGUGUGUGACCUUAGACAAGUCUGGUGAAUUGUGAGGGAUGGGAUGGGGUUCAGAAACUGUGGGCUCCUCAGAGAGGGGGCUGCUCCGGGAAGAUGGGGUCCCUGGGUCCUCAGGCUGGGGGUCUUCAUCAGGUUCGGCAUCCUGGCCAGGCCCAAGCCCUGCCAGCCUUUUACUGGCCUCCCACAGCCGGUGGGCCGCACGAUCAUCCCGGGCGGCUGGGGGCACCUCCUCUACAUGGCAAUUGGCAAAAUAUCUCCCACUGAGAGGUUCAAUGCCCUCCUGUAGAGCGCAGUACAGGGGUGUCUGGGCACCCCCUCUUGGCGUCCGCAGCACCAGCCAAGCCAGUGGGCGCAGAAGUGGGCUCAGCCAUCCAGGAACGUGGCGCAGGAAUAGCUCUGAGU
rnacentral:lncRNA from 1 species